rnacentral:rRNA from 1 species
AUACGGAGGGUGCAAGCGUUGUUCGGAAUUACUGGGCGUAAAGGGCGCGUAGGCGGCGCUGUAAGUCAGAUGUGAAAGUCCACGGCUCAACCGUGGAAGUGCAUCUGAUACUGCAGCGCUUGAGUAUCGGAGGGGAAAGUAGAAUUCCCGGUGUAGAGGUGAAAUUCGUAGAUAUCGGGAGGAAUACCGGUGGCGAAGGCGACUUUCUGGACGAAUACUGACGCUGAGGUGCGAAGGCGUGGGGAGC